AGGAUGCAAAGAAAUAAAGGUCGGUUUACAUCUUCUAAGCCCAAUCAUGAUGAAUCUGCAUCAGGUGCAGCAAACUAGGGGGCAAAUGAAAGCUGGUCAUCAGAUAACAAUGGAUCUCAACAAGAUAUCGUUUGUCGGCACUGCGGCAUUAGUGAGAAGUGCACACCGAUGAUGCGACGUGGACCUGAAAGGCCAAGAACACUCUGCAAUGCUUGUGGACUUAUGUGGGCAAAUAAGGGAACUCUUAGGGACCUAUCGAGAGCCGCGUCCAUGGCUGGACAUAAUUCUCAGUUAAACAAGAAUGAGAAUAAAGAUUUUGAGGCCAAUCAGAUGGUACAAACAGUGGCAGCUGAUGUUGAGGAUUCUUCAUGACAGGCCUUCUAUAUUUUGGUCCCAUUUUCAUGGAAUAAGGGUGAGAAGAGUGUUUGCUUUAAGAUGAGAAGAUGAGAAUUAUUAGUC